GCCCCCGUAGCUCAGUGGUAGAGCGUCUGCCUUGUAAGCAGAAAGUCGCGAGUUCAAAUCUCGUCGGGGGCU
rnacentral:tRNA from 2 species